AUUGAACGCUGGCGGCAGGCUUAACACAUGCAAGUCGAGCGGGGGAGGUUGCUUCGGUAACUGACCUAGCGGCGGACGGGUGAGUAAUGCUUAGGAAUCUGCCAUUUAGUGGGGGACAACAUUCCGAAAGGAAUGCUAAUACCGCAUACGUCCUACGGGAGAAAGCAGGGGAUCUUCGGACCUUGCGCUAAAUGAUGCGCCUAAGUCGGAUUAGCUAGUUGGUGGGGUAAAGGCCUACCAAGGCGACGAUCUGUAGCGGGUCUGAGAGGAUGAUCCGCCACACUGGGACUGAGACACGGCCCAGACUCCUACGGGAGGCAGCAGUGGGGAAUAUUGGACAAUGGGCGGAAGCCUGAUCCAGCCAUGCCGCGUGUGUGAAGAAGGCCUUAUGGUUGUAAAGCACUUUAAGCGAGGAGGAGGCUACUUAGAUUAAUACUCUAGGAUAGUGGACGUUACUCGCAGAAUAAGCACCGGCUAACUCUGUGCCAGCCGCCGCCGUAACAC
rnacentral:rRNA from 1 species